UAGUGUAAUUUAAAUAAAAAUUAAAAAUAUUUUAGUAUUAGAGUAACCAUUUUAUAAUAGAAAAAAAAUUAUAUUGUUUUAGCUAAGAUAUAUCAAAAUGAUAAAAAAUAUUUUUUCAAUUUAUAAGAAAAGAGUAUAUAAAAAUAUGCAUUAAUUUUAUAUGACAUCAAAUAUUAUUUUAAUAGGAAUUCUAAAACAAUUUUUUUUCAAACUUGCCAAAGAAACACACUGGUUCGUUGAACACAAUCAUAUUUCCUCGCAGAUAAAUUUCAAAUUAAUUAAUUUCCUAAAUUGUAAUUUACUCGAUUCAUUGUUUAAUGGAAAUGCGAUUUUUAUUUGCCCCUUUAUUAAUGACAACUUAGACAGCCAGAAAGCGUGUUUUAUGCGACGGGUUGCAGCUGUGUAUUUAAUUAUUGUUCAGCGCUUAUUGCCUAUUGGGCUAUUGGCUGGCUACAAAUAAAUUAACCCAAUACGUAUACAUUUUGACUUUCAAAUCUUGUGGUUGUGGCUUGCCCAAACACGCGCUUUUAAAGACGCGAAAAAGCGACGCUGCCGGAGACGCAGAGGUAGAGGCAAAAUUUAGGAGCCGAGAUCCAGCGACUUGAUCUCGCCACCGUCGCCUGCUGCUUGUUCUUCACGUACAGUCGCUGUCGCCGCUCUAAUUCUUCUGAUCUCACGACACCGGAGAGAUGAAAGGAACCUGUGCUCUUGUCGCGUCUGUGGUUGCCGCAUCCACCGUCGUCGUCACCUCCGGUGAUCGCCAGGUCGCUUGCGACUCUCGCGCAGAUAAGGGUAAACAAGUGAUUUCGGAGGGUGCGGGGAAGGAGAAGUACGCUCCGAGGUUCGAUGGGUUAAGAUUCAUCGAGACACUCGUCACGGCGCACAGGUGAAGGCCGAUUUGUUGUCACUUCAUUCUGGUCGAGGAGGAGCGUGCGAUUGGAUUGAUUUUGCGUGCAUCUAGUUUUGUUUUUUAGAGUAAUUUAUGCGCAAGCGAGGACAAGGAUUUUACCGUCUGUGCUUGUCAUUUGCGGCGUGUUUUGAUCUGAUCAUUCAUUCAUCUAGGUUUUCUACGCUGUUGUGCUCGUGGAUGGUAUUUUUCCAGGUUAUAUAUCCCCAUGGGUUUUAUCUAAUUGUAUCUUGAGUCUUGACAUUGGAUCACACUUGUGUGCAAUUUUACUGUAAUUCUUCCAUUUCAA